rnacentral:misc_RNA from 1 species
GCCAUCUACAGAAAGAUCAACAGAGGACAUGAGCUGCAUAUACAGCACUCUUUACCACAACUGAAAGUCCUCCCUUCAGUCAAUAUCAAAUAAUCACAGUUCUAAUAUAGAAAAGGAAAGAAAGAUAUUAUAAAGUACAUCGAUUUGAAGACUCCUAUCUCGCGAAUUUUACAAAACUCUAGCAAAAAAGGAUGAAUGUUGGGUGCAUACAGCAUGAAGAUCGAUCACCUGACCACCUGUCCACAUAGCUGAAAUAGCCGUAAGCCCAGUGAUUCUUUGCAACACCGCCACUCAGGCAUGCAGGAGAAGAUAUGACACAGUUUACCUUUACAGGAACUCUACACAUUUCUACUAUUGCUGCUGGUUCUGUGGAGGAGCAUUGGGCGGUGGAGGCAUACCAGGACGAGGAGGUCCA